rnacentral:rRNA from 1 species
UACGGAGGGUGCAAGCGUUAAUCGGAAUUACUGGGCGUAAAGCGCACGCAGGUGGCUGAGUCAGUCGGUUGUGAAAGCCCUGGGCUUAACCUGGGAAUUGCAGUCGAUACUACUUAGCUCGAGUAUGGGAGAGGGCAGUGGAAUUCCCGGUGUAGCGGUGAAAUGCGUAGAUAUCGGGAGGAACAUCAGUGGCGAAAGCGACUUCCUGGACCAAUACUGACGCUCAUGUGCGAAAGCGUGGGGAGCAAACAGG